rnacentral:piRNA from 1 species
UAGAAAGUUAAACGCAGGGCAGUUCUGA